AUGAAUUCAGUCAUUCAUACCACUCCCCCUGUGUUCUGGAAUUCAUUUCAGACUCCUCUUUUUAUUUAAAAUAGUUACCACAAGAUGUGCUCCCCCUGUUUUGUAUGCAUUCAUAAAUUGUGUCAAAUUUGAGCACUUAAGGUAUGUUAUGAGAUCUUUAAGGCACAUCAUAGAAUCACAUACACAGAGUCAGAAAUGUACACAAGGUUUCAAAAGAAAUUGUAUGUCAUUCAUAUAUCAUUGUAAACCUUUGAAGUCAUUACAAAGUUAAAG
rnacentral:lncRNA from 1 species